CGGAGAUUGUCCGUGUUUCCUAGUAAAUGUAAAUAUAGCAGGACCCUUGGGGAAAUUGGUCGGCAACGUGAAGGUGAUGCUUCAGCAUCAUCUGGCUUGUGAUCCUGGUAGGAAAGAAAAUAGAUAAGAAUGCCUUGAAAUACAUUGCAUGUCAUUAUAGCCGUCACUCACGGAGAGUUUCACUGUAAUUUUUGACAAUGGUGUAAGAUCCAAACCAAAUAUCUGGGAUAUGGAUGCAAAAGGGACGUUCUUUAAGCCGGUUACAUUGCGUCAUGCUUUAUGAACGGGAGCUGUCCAUCGUAGUAAUGAAAACAGGUGCUUUACUUCAUUCUUGGGACGUUUGAGAGCUGAUCUGGAUCCAUGAAUGCCCAUCUUUUCUUGAAGUAUUACUUAAUCAAAUCAGAAUACUUUCUUGCAAAUGCCACCGCAGCAGAACAGAAUUGGAAGUUCAACCUACUAAAUACGAGAGGACCGCAGUAAUGACCAACUACGGUCCCAGCUAGAAAUGUCUACUAUUUCGGUUGUAAUGAUACUUAGUAAACUUUUUUUAUUUUGAAGGAUAGUAAUUUUCCUCAAAUUUUGGUUAUGUCACUUGUAACUUUUUCAUAAAUAUCAAGAU